rnacentral:tRNA from 1 species
GGCUUUAUAUUCAAAUAUGAUUUUAGAUUGCAAUUCUAAGGGUGUGUUUAUUCACUAAGGCCU